AUGAAAAAGAAGGCUUGAAGAACACAUUCAAGGAAAGAAACAAGAUGUCAGCUGGAGAUUGGCGCACAUACCUUAGGGGAAGUUCUAGGAGAGCUACAUCCUCAACUCCGAUAGAUGCCUGGGUGAUGGAGAAGUCACGGGAGCAGUCCCAUCCCUGCUGGAUAUUAGUGCGCUGUCCUGACGUCACAAGAGCCUGCACAGACCCCGUUCUACCUGACUUUAAAUUAAAUGCAUCAUGUUUUUGUUGUUGUUAUACAA